rnacentral:rRNA from 1 species
UGGGUAACCUGCCUCAAAGAGGGGAAUAGCCUCCCGAAAGGGAGAUUAAUACCGCAUAAUAUGUUUUAAUCGCAUGAUUUUAACAUCAAAGGAUUUUCUCGGAACUUCCAC